GAUGAACGCUGGCGGCGUGCCUAAUACAUGCAAGUCGAGCGAACAGAUAAUGAUCUUGCUCCUUUGACGUUAGCGGCGGACGUGUGAGUAACAUGUGUGUAACCUACCUAUAUUACUGGUAUAACUUCGGGAAACCGGAUCUAAUACCGUAUAACAUUUUGCACCGCAUUGUUCUAUAGUGAAAUAUGGUUUUGCUAUCACUUCUAGAUGCAUCUGCGCGGUAUUAGCUGGUUGGUAAGGUAACGGCUUACCAAGGCGACGAUACGUAGCCGACCUUAGAGGGGGAUAGGCCACACGGGAGGGGAGACAGGGUCAAGAGGACUACGGGAGGGAGCAGAAGGCAACGGUAGGCAGUGGGCGAAAGCAUGACGGAGUAGGGGCGAGCGAGAGAUAAAGGGUUUGGGUUCGUAAAAAUCGGUUAUUAGGGAAGAACAAAUGUGUAAGGAAAUGUGGAGGUAUUGACGGUACCGGGUAAGAAAGCAACGGCUAACUACGUG
rnacentral:rRNA from 1 species